UACGUAGGGUGCGAGCGUUGUCCGGAAUUAUUGGGCGUAAAGAGCUCGUAGGCGGCUCGUUGCGUCGGCUGUGAAAACCCGCAGCUCAACUGUGGGCUUGCAGCCGAUACGGGCGGGCUGGAGUUCGGUAGGGGAGACUGGAAUUCCUGGUGUAGCGGUGAAAUGCGCAGAUAUCAGGAGGAACACCGGUGGCGAAGGCGGGUCUCUGGGCCGAUGACUGACGCUGAGGAGCGAAAGCGUGGGGAGCGAACAGG
rnacentral:rRNA from 1 species